CGCAGAUUCACUAGAUUCCUCAAGUUGAUAGGUAGUGCCUCCAAAUAACGACAAAGUUAGGUGGUGUUCAGGUGGCUGCUUGGGUUUGAUGGGUUUAAGGAGCGGUUGCUUGCGGAUGACUUGUUCUUGACUAAGGUUGCUAUAGAGUGUGGUGUUGGAAUAUUCACCAAGGUCUGUGAUUCUUCUAACUUGCUAACUUCUAAUCUAUAGAAAAGGUGAAAUCUUGACCGUUGAUCCAUACUUUGGCAUCUACAAUUCUUAUUUGGCGCCUGAAUGGAAAUGGUGUCUCUGUUAUGCAUUGGAUAUCUUUUAACUUCUGAAUAUCAAAUACAAGUGAGAGUAUAUGCUAUGUACAGUUAGGUGUAAGCUGAGCUCUUUCCAUGUUGCUCCUUUUCAGACUGCUGCAGAGUUGGAGCGGCGCCGCGAAAAUUUUACCAAAGAGCUGGAU
rnacentral:lncRNA from 1 species